CUUAAACACUCGCUCUGCUUUUGAGUUUGUAGUGUAAAGCUCUGUGAAACUAAACGAAAACUUCUUUUUCCAAGAGAUUGAAGAACAGAGCGAAAUCGAAUCAAUGAUGAAUCGCCAUUUUCUUCCUCUUCCACCGGAGAUUCCUCGUGCUGUUCUUUUCCCUGCAAUUUAGUUUCCAAAGCCGUUUGCAGUUUCCGAUAUGGCCAAGUAUCAAAGAAACGACGUUGGAUCUGUAGUUUUUUACCGAGUCUCCACUUCCACUGCCGCCGCCAGCCAUUUCCGUCUCUGUACUUCCUUCUCCACUGCUUCAUUCCGUAGGAAAUUUUUUGAUGCUGUAAGUUGUGGUGGAAGUUCACGCUAUCGCUAUCACCACGACGGCGAUGGUACUGUUUCCUCGGCGAUUAGGUCGAUGUCCGAGAUUGUGAAGGAACAGGAGGAAGUGAGACCGAAACGGUCCAAUGCCAAGUCGGAGAAGCUAUUCGAUCUUCUUAGACUGGAGUCGUCGCCGGAAUCGGAGCCGGAGACAAAGAAGAAGGAGGAGGUGCUGGAAGAGUUCAAAUGCGUAGUGAAAAUAUUGCAGGAUGAAAAUUUGGCGGAGAGGAGAGCGGCUGCGAGUCGAGUAAGGUUGCUUGCAAAAGAGGAUGCAGAAGCGAGAGGACUGCUUGCAAUGCUGGGAGCCAUUCCGCCGCUAGUUGAAAUGCUUGAUUUAGAAGACGAUGAAUCUAAGAUCGCCUCGCUCUAUGCAUUGCUCAAUCUUGGAAUUGGAAACGACUUGAACAAGGCGGCCAUUGUUAAAGCGGGAACUGUCCACAAAAUGCUUAAGCUGAUCGAAUCUGAUGAUUCCCCAAAUCCAUCUGUUUCAGAAGCCAUUGUUGCGAAUUUCCUCGGCUUGAGUGCAUUAGAUACCAACAAACUGGUAAUUGGGUCAUCGGGUGCAAUUCCAUUCUUGGUAAAGAACUUACACGACCCAGAUCAUAAAAGUAGUUCGCAAGUCAAGCAAGACGCUCUACGUGCGCUUUAUAACCUCUCUAUUUUCCCCUCAAAUGUUCCAUUUAUCUUAGAAACUAAGUUGAUCCCAUUUCUUCUAAACGCGUUGGGAGACAUGGAAGUAAGUGAAAGAGCCCUCUCAGUUCUAAGCAAUGUGGUGUCAACCCCAGAAGGUCGAAAGGCCAUAAGCACUUUCCCUAAUUCAUUUCCAAUACUGAUUGAUGUCUUGAAUUGGGCUGAUUCUCCUGGCAGUCAAGAGAAAGCAUCCUACAUUUUGAUGGUUAUGGCGCACAAAUCUUACCGUGAUAAACAGGCAAUGAUUGAAGCUGGGAUUUCAUCAGCUUUGUUGGAACUAACUCUUUUGGGCAGUACAUUGGCUCAGAAGAGGGCCUCUAGGAUUUUGGAGUGUUUGAGGGUUGAUAAAGGAAAACAAAUCCCUGAUCAUUUCGGGGGAAAUUCUUCUGCCCCAAUUUGUGGUUCUUCUUCAUCUUCUUUUACUAAUCCAAUUCUAGGUUCUGCUGAAGGUUUGGAAGGAUUGGAUGAUUUGGUGAGUGAAGAGAAGAAGGCUGUGAAGCAAUUGGUGCGGCAGAGUUUGCAAAACAACAUGAGGAGAAUUGUGAAGAGAGCCAAUUUGCCUCAGGAUUUUGUGCCUUCUGAUCAUUUCAAGUCGCUCACGUCAAGCUCCACUUCAAAAAGCUUGCCAUUUUGAAUGCGCAACUACAGGGAGUCAUGGUGUUAUUGAAGAUUCUCAAUUCUUUGGAUCUCUAAAACUGCAAUGGAUAGACUUUACUUCUUGCAAUUAACCGCAUCAACGUGGGUCUUCAGCACAUUAUGAAGUGCGGGCUUUUCCCAAAGGCUUGAGUAUAUAUUUUACUCGCACACUGGAAGUUCCUGGUGUUGAAGUCAAAAGUAGAUGGGAUUUGCAAUAAUAUGAGAAGUUUGGUAUAAUUGAUGAAUAAUGGUUGAAUAUACCUUCAUUGUAAGACCAUGCAUAUUUCCUCACACCAUCACGCUCAUAUUUUGCUUC